rnacentral:lncRNA from 1 species
GCAUGGUCAACGAGAGCGUCGAACGAGGUGAAGGGCUUCCCGUUAGGGUCACGCGCACACUUGGUCGCAAGCCACUCCGGCAGCCCCGAACGGAACCAGAACACACGCUCAGUGGGGGUCAUGUCAUGAAUGGGCGCAACAAGAGCAUUGAAGCGGGUGAGGUAUGCAGAGACCGCCUCCUUGUCACGCAUCAUGUAACGCCGCGCAGCCAGUUUGUUGCGGGCUUCUUCAGACAACGUGAGUACCGCGGGCGCAAACCUGUCACCUAGGGCCUUCAGAAGCCGCUCAGAGGUGAACUCUUCCCCCACGGACAGGGACCAGUCGUCAUACCAGGUCUUAG